GUCAGUGUAUGUACCUGUGUGUGUCAGUAUGUCUAUCAGUGUAUGUGCCUGACACAUACAUACACACAGGCACACACUGAUAGACAUACUGACAAACACACACAAG